rnacentral:Y_RNA from 1 species
GGCUGGUCCGAGUGCAGUGGUGUUUACAACUCAUUGAUUACAGCCAGUUACAGAUUUCUUUGUUCCUUCUCCACUCCCAUUGCUUCAUUUGACUAGACUUAA